GCUGGCAUGGCUCAAUGGUUAGAGCAUAGGCCUGUGCACCAAAGGUCUCAGGUUUGACUGCUGGUCAAUGGCAGGGUUGCAGGUUCAAUCCUGCCGCCCGCC
rnacentral:tRNA from 1 species